rnacentral:lncRNA from 1 species
CAAAGUGCUGGAAUUACAGGCGUGCACCACCACGCCCGGCCAGAUCUUCAUAUAUCUAAGAUCCUGUCAAGAAGACAUGGUAAACCUCAUCAUGAUCAAGAAUGAGACUUUGCUUGCAUCCAGGCUUCCCAAAAGUUGUUUGAUAGUAUACAGGCAUGAGAUGGUGUGACUCUAACUCAUUAGAUGCCUUCGUCUUUUCAGUCAUCAUGUGAUGGAAAGAAAGCUAUCAACUUCAUUCCUGAGACUUCCUGCAACACAGGAGCAGCAGGACAUCUGGGGAUGAGAAGAUGGAGAGAUCAUCCUUAUAUAAUGUUGCAGUCUGGAAGCAUCACUCUCAAAAAGCCAUUGUAGAGAAUCCAAGCCGAGUUUAAGAGUGCUGUGGAAAUACACUGCUGCUACUGCUGUUUCUAUUACUGUUUGAUGCUGGGACUCUUAUGCUCCAACCACGUUUUCACCCAGCUGAGUCGCCUUCGUAUCACGCCUUUCCAGUUUUGAUAGACUAGAAAAAUGACAAGACUCCAAGUCCUUGAAGAGGAGGAAAAGUGUGAAGAAAACAAAAAAGGGAGAUUUAUGUCUGCUUCACCAUUUUGCCCAAGACUUGACCUGUCAUACACUGAAGCUCAGAGAGGAAGAAAGGACCGUGUGAGAGAAGAAGGGAACAGCCUUUCAUCCAUAGGAGAAGUUCGUCUAUGACAAAGCCACUAGCUCCAUGUGGCCGCUGAGCACUCAAAAUGUGGCCAGUCUGAAUUGAGAUAUGUUGUUAGUAUAAAGUCCACAUCGGCUUUUUGAGCACUUUGUAUGAGAAAAAAGAAUACCAAAUAUCUCCUUAAUAAUUGUUACAUUGAUUAUAUGUUGAACUGAUAACAUUAUGGAUAUAUUGGAUUAAAUAAAAUAAAUUAUUAAAAUCAAAUAAAAAAUAAAAUCAAUUUCACCUGUUUCU